rnacentral:rRNA from 1 species
UACGUAGGGGGCGAGCGUUGUCCGGAAUUACUGGGCGUAAAGGGUGCGUAGGCGGCCUGAGAAGUCAUGUGUGAAAUACCUGGGCUCAACCUGGGUGUUGCACAUGAAACUGGCGGGCUUGAGUGCAGGAGAGGGAAGUGGAAUUCCUAGUGUAGCGGUGAAAUGCGUAGAGAUUAGGAGGAACACCAGUGGCGAAGGCGGCUUCCUGGCCUGUAACUGACGCUGAGGCACGAAAGCGUGGGGAGCAAACAGG